rnacentral:tRNA from 1 species
UCCCUGGUGGUUCAGAUGGUAAAGCGUCUGCCUACAAUGUAGGAGACCUGGGUUCGAUCCCUGGGUGGGGAG